rnacentral:misc_RNA from 1 species
AGGAGUCUAACAUGUUCGCGAGUUUUACAUUUUGGAUGCUGAGCGUGCGAAAGCGAUAAGUAUUUCACUACUAGCAGAGCGCGUAUGUUCGGUCCCGAAAAAUGGUGAACUAUUUCUGCUCAGGGCGAGGUCAUAGGAAACUGUGAUGGAAGGUCUCAGCGGUUCUGACGUGCAAAUCGAUCGUGUAAAUUAGGUAUAGGAGCGAAAGACCAAUCGAACCAUGUAGUUGCUGGUUCUCUC